GAUGACCGUACCGCAAACCGACACAGGUGGGCGAGAUGAGUAUUCUAAGGCGCUUGAGAGAACUCGGGAGAAGGAACUCGGCAAAUUGGUACCGUAACUUCGGGAUAAGGUACGCCCUUGUAGCUUGAUGCCCCUGCGGGCAAAGGGUGAAGGGGUUGCAAUAAACUGGUGGCUGCGACUGUUUAAUAAAAACACAGCACUCUGCAAACACGAAAGUGGACGUAUAGGGUGUGACGCCUGCCCGGUGCCGGAAGAUUAAAUGAUGGGGUGCAAGCUCUUGAUUGAAGUCCCGGUAAACGGCGGCCGUAACUAUAACGGUCCUAAGGUAGCGAAAUUCCUUGUCGGGUAAGUUCCGACCUGCACGAAUGGCGUAACGAUGGCCACACUGUCUCCUCCCGAGACUCAGCGAAGUUGAAGUGUUUGUGAUGAUGCAAUCUACCCGCGGCUAGACGGAAAGACCCCAUGAACCUUUACUGUAGCUUUGCAUUGGACUUUGAACCGAUCUGUGUAGGAUAGGUGGGAGGCUAUGAAACCGGAACGCUAGUUUCGGUGGAGCCGUCCUUGAAAUACCACCCUGGUUUGUUUGAGGUUCUAACCUUGGCCCGUGAUCCGGGUCGGGGACAGUGCAUGGUAGGCAGUUUGACUGGGGCGGUCUCCUCCCAAAGCGUAACGGAGGAGUACGAAGGUACGCUAGGUACGGUCGGAAAUCGUGCUGAUAGUGCAAUGGCAUAAGCGUGCUUAACUGCGAGACCGACAAGUCGAGCAGGUGCGAAAGCAGGUCAUAGUGAUCCGGUGGUUCUGUAUGGAAGGGCCAUCGCUCAACGGAUAAAAGGUACUCUGGGGAUAACAGGCUGAUACCGCCCAAGAGUUCAUAUCGACGGCGGUGUUUGGCACCUCGAUGUCGGCUCAUCUCAUCCUGGGGCUGUAGCCGGUCCCAAGGGUAUGGCUGUUCGCCAUUUAAAGAGGUACGUGAGCUGGGUUUAAAACGUCGUGAGACAGUUUGGUCCCUAUCUGCCGUGGGCGUUGGAUAUUUGAAGGGGGCUGCUCCUAGUACGAGAGGACCGGAGUGGACGAACCUCUGGUGUACCGGUUGUCACGCCAGUGGCAUCGCCGGGUAGCUAUGUUCGGAAGAGAUAACCGCUGAAAGCAUCUAAGCGGGAAACUCGCCUUAAGAUGAGAUAUCCCUGGGGACUAGAUCCCCUUGAAGGGUCGUUCGAGACCAGGACGUUGAUAGGUCAGGUGUGUAAGCGCAGUAAUGCGUUCAGCUAACUGAUACUAAUUGCCCGUAAGGCUUGAUCCU
rnacentral:rRNA from 1 species